AGUACUACUAGUACGAGUACUAGUACCUGUACUACUUGUACUCGUACUAGUACUAAUAGUACUAACUACUGUUUGAACUAGUACAAGUACUA
rnacentral:tRNA from 1 species